UCCAAUUUUAUCAAAAUAUCUAUUCAUAUCUAUCCAUAUUCUUUUAUAAAGUCCUAAUUUCUAACCCUAAUUCCCAAAUCAAAUUCAGAAACCUAAUUUCCCAAAUUGAGAAACCCUAACCCACUAACCCCACACCCCAGCGCCGUUCCCCCUUCGUUCACCUUCAGCUUCAUUCCUCAAUAUACACACACAAAACAAGAGAGAAACAGAAGAGGGAGGAGCUGCUGCCGCUACCGUGCCCAGCCAUCGAGCCAUGCAUCGCUGCCAUUUUUGCACCGCCGCCGUCGCUCUCAUCGCUGCUCCGUGGAGGCCGCAGAGAGGAACGCGAACCAGGAGCUUCCGUGUCGUGCCGCCAAUCUGUCACCAUGCUGCUGCGUCGCCAUUGAUGAAGCUUCUGCCACCACCGUGAACUGCGAACAGAGGAGAGGGAGAGAGAGGAGUUUGCGAGGGAGAAGAGGAAGCAACGCUGCCCUUCCAUCACCGCUGCUGCCAAGGUUUGUGGAAGAGAGUGUCGUCGUCGUCGUGGGUGGAGUCCACCGUCCCAGCCGCCACCAGAGAGAGCGCGCGCGAAGGGAAAACCUCACCACAAAGCCAUCGCCGCUGUCGUCAUGCUCCACCGCUGCCACUUCUCACCAAGCCGUCACUAUCAUGUUUCCUGGUCACCAUCGAAGGAAGCCGCCGCCAGCGUCGAUUUGGAGUUGCUGCAAUUAGAACCACUAACGGGGAACCAACUUUGCUGUUUGGCCGCUGCUGAGGCCUUCCACCAUCACUGGAGUUGCUCAAAACCACCAUGGUUGCUACCCAGGAAACAAAAUGAGUGCUGGAAAUUGUUAUUGAAGCUACCCAAGAACACUGUGUUUCCUGCCAAGGGGACAGAACGGAUGUCAGAACCUGACAGAGUGCUGCUGCCGUCAAUCGGAGAUGCUAAAAUUGCCGCUGCUGCAGGUGGCUUCGAAAUACUUAGUUGUGGCGUUUAGACUCUGCAAUUUCGACUAACUGAGUGACACAGGUUCGAAGAUUCAGUUUGAAACUGCGGGCGAUUCUAGAAUUUACUUACGAGUUAAGUUUAUGACUUGAGUUUCUUUCAUAGAAUUCCCUCGCCCUUACUGCUUAAGGUUUUUAUUUUAUGCAGAGGGAUAGGAGUUGUACCUGAAUUUUAUUUAAAUUCUUUUGUAUA